rnacentral:rRNA from 1 species
CACGCCGUAAACGAUGAAUACUCGCUGUUUGCGAUAUAGUGCAAGCGGCCAAGCGAAAGCAUUAAGUAUUCCACCUGGGGAGUACGUUCGCAAGAAUGAAACUCAAAGGAAUUGACGGGGGCCCGCACAAGCGGAGGAACAUGUGGUUUAAUUCGAUGAUACGCGAGGAACCUUACCCGGGCUUGAAAUGCAAUCGACUGACUUGGAAACAGGUCAUCCAGCAAUGGCGAUUGUGUAGGUGC